AUGGCCUUUUAUACAGGAGGGACUAUUUGUCCACUGAACUAUAGAGAACUGCUGGCAAAACAAGAAAAGGACACCAGCUUACUUUUAUUGCAUAGGAGUGACAGGAUCGACGACCAAAGAAAGGUAAUACUACAAAAUUGUCAGCAGAGCUCACGGAGAAUUGUCCACCACGAGCCAAUUUUCUCUGCCUAUCAGCGUGCGUCGCUAGUACCAGAAACCGUAUGGGUGCUGAUAUCGUGGUGGCCAUUAGCCAAGUGGACAGUUUCGUUGGACUUGGAUUUAAGUCACAACUGUCUGUCCAACUGA
rnacentral:rRNA from 1 species